CGCGGGCCUGGCUCGGCGAGUUCGUGGCUUUCGGCGCCACCGCGGCCGCGCUCGGCCUGCGGCUCGCGG
rnacentral:tRNA from 1 species